rnacentral:rRNA from 1 species
UACGUAGGGUGCGAGCGUUGUCCGGAAUUAUUGGGCGUAAAGAGCUCGUAGGCGGUCUGUCGCGUCGGUCGUGAAAACUUGGGGCUUAACCCUGAGCUUGCGGUCGAUACGGGCAUGACUGGAGUUCGGUAGGGGAGACUGGAAUUCCUGGUGUAGCGGUGAAAUGCGCAGAUAUCAGGAGGAACACCUGAGGUGAAGACGGGUUGCUGGGCUGACACUGACGCUGAGGCGCGAAAGCUAGGGUAGCAAACGGG